GCAAACUUGGUCAUUUAGAGGAAGUAAAAGUCGUAACAAGGUUUCCGUAGGUGAACCUGCGGAAGGAUCAUUAAGCAUAGGUGGCUUUACAGCCACAGGGAUACGGAACCCCUACAAGCCGUUCACACCUUGUUUUUUAAGCCCCUUGUUUCCUUAGCAGGCCUGCCUGCUAAUAGGGACCACCACAAACCCUUUGUUUCAAACAGUUGUCUGAUGUAUAAAUCAAUAUUUAAAACUUUCAACAACGGAUCUCUUGGUUCUAGCAUCGAUGAAGAACGCAGC
rnacentral:misc_RNA from 1 species